AUUGAACGCUAGCGGGAUGCCUUACACAUGCAAGUCGAACGGAGUGGCGAACGGGUGAGUAAUGUAUCGGAACGUGCCCAGUAGCGGGGGAUAACUACGCGAAAGCGUAGCUAAUACCGCAUACUAUUGGAGCGGCCGAUAUCGGAUUAGCUAGUUGGUGGGGUAACGGCUCACCAAGGCGACGAACCGUAGCUGGUUUGAGAGGACGACCAGCCACACUGGGACUGAGACACGGCCCAGACUCCUACGGGAGGCAGCAGUGGGGAAUUUUGGACAAUGGGGGAAACCCUGAUCCAGCCAUCCCGCGUGUGCGAUGAAGGCCUUCGGGUUGUAAAGCUCUGUUAAUCGGGACGCGGUACCGGAAUAGAAAGCCACGGCUAACUACGUGCCAGCAGCCGCGGUAAUAC
rnacentral:rRNA from 1 species